CUCCUCACUAUCACGUAAUAGGUUUCACUUCCCCUCACGACAUCUCUCCUUCUCACUAUCACGUAAUAGGUUUCACCUCCCCUCACGACAUCUCUCCCUCACUAUCACGCAAUAGGUUUCACUUCCCCUCACGACAUCUCUCCUUCUCACUAUCACGUAAUAGGUUUCACUUCCCCUCACGACAUCUCUCCUUCUCACUAUCACGUAAUAGGUUUCACUUCCCCUCACGACAUCUCUCCUUCUCACUAUCACGUAAUAGGUUUCACUUCCCCUCACGACAUCUCUCCUUCUCACUAUCACACAAUAGGUUUCACUUCCCCUCACGACAUCUCUCCUUCUCACUAUCACGUAAUAGGUUUCACUUCCCCUCACGACAUCUCUCCUUCUCACUAUCACGUAAUAAGUUUCA